UACGUAGGGUGCAGGCGUUAAUCGGAAUUACUGGGCGUAAAGCGUGCGCAGGCGGUUUGCUAAGACAGGUGUGAAAUCCCCGGGCUUAACCUGGGAACUGCGCUUGUAACUGGCAAGCUGGAGUGUGGCAGAGGGGGGUGGAAUUCCACGUGUAGCAGUGAAAUGCGUAGAGAUGUGGAGGAACACCGAUGGCGAAGGCGGCCCCCUGGGCUAACACUGACGCUCAUGCACGAAAGCGUGGGGAGCAAACAGG
rnacentral:rRNA from 1 species